GAUGAACGCUGGCGGCGUGCCUAAUACAUGCAAGUCGAGCGAACGGACGAGAAGCUUGCUUCUCUGAUGUUAGCGGCGGACGGGAGAGGAACACGUGGAUAACCUACCUAUAAGACUGGGAUAACUUCGGGAGACCGGAGCUAAUACCGGGUAAUAUUUUGAACCGCAUGGGUCAAAAGUGGAAGACGGUCUUGCUGUCACUGAUAGAUGGGUCCGCGCUGCAUUAGCUAAUUGGUAAGGGAACGGCUUACCAAGGCAACGAUGAAUAGCCGACCUGAGAGGGUGAUCGGCCACACUGGGACUGGGACACGGUCCAGACUCCUACGGGAGGCAGCCGUAGGGAAUCUUCCGCGAUGGGCGAAAGCCUGACGGAGCAACGCCGCGUGAGUGAUGAAGGUCUUCGGAUCGUAAAACUCUGUUAUUAGGGAAGAACAUAUGUGUAAGUAACUGUGCACAUCUUGACGGUACCUAAUCAGAAAGCCACGGCUAACUCCGUG
rnacentral:rRNA from 1 species